CUAUUUGCUUGGCUUCCUGGCGGCGAGGGGGUGUCUAACUUGUGUUUUUCUUUUCCGCUGUGAAGGGAUAUCGUUUAAGAGGGAUCAUUAGCUGCGGCAGCCCGGCUGGGUCAAGGCUGGGAGGCGGAGAGCCAGCUGCCAGCAGCGGAGCAAGGUGGAGGCACGGAGACAGAAGACCAGGUUAAUGAAAGCAUGAGGUGGCUCUUGGGCAGCAGCUUGAAAAAUUUUGGACACGCUGACAGGGGAAGCUAUGACUGGCUAAACAGUGAACCAGGCGGGCCAAUUCUGGAAACAGAGCUUCAGAGCAGACAGCAGACGAGCUCAACCAAAGACGACAUAGAGCCAUUCCUGUGCAUCAUCCUGCCUGCCACCAUGAUGCUCUUCCUGGCAUUCCUGCUGCUCUUCCUGUACCGCCGCUGCCAGCGCCCCGCUCCGCAGGGGCAGAUCUUCAGCAUCGACCUGCCCGAGGCGCUGCCCGAGCGCGACGUGCCCGGCUUCCUCUCGGCGCUGCCCUGGGGCGGCGAGCAGAGCUUCCACUACUCCACGCUGCUCCCCGACGCCACCUUCCUCUCGGGGUGCCUGCCCCCCUCCUACGAGGAGGCCACCAAGAAGGCUCCCGUGGCGGAGGCUCACGCCGAGCUCUCUCCGGACCCAGUGCCUCCCUACGAGGAGAGCACGCUGCAGACCAAAUAAACUUCCUACGGAAGCACCUUAUCCCAAGCACGCAGCACAAAGGUAGAACUGCCAUGGCCUUUAAAGUUUGUGAAAAUAUUCCAAACGAGGCGCGAAACCAAUGAAUUUAUGAAGGAAGAAACUUGAAGUAACAGGGAAUGCAUCUCUUCACCUCAUCCUAGGAUUCUCUACCUUCCGUUUGUGAGGAGUGUACACAUGGUGUGGCACCAAACCCAGCCCAGACUGGUAACGUGGGGAUUCUGGUUAAUAGACAUGUCAUGCAAGGAUUAAAUUUAAGGAAAGCUGGGAAGCACUUCCUCUGUAAUCCCUCGGCUACAACAAAAUGUCAAUAAGGCUAUAGAUUCAGCAAUCACAAAAAGGGCUUUUAGCACAUGUAUAUUCCAGUUUUGGGGUUUUUUUUCUAUUUUAUGCAUUUAUAUUUAAAUGAGUUUUUGACAAGCUGAGUCAGUCUGUGUGUGUUUGCAUCACAUCAUUCUGCAGUGCUCUGGAACGAUCACAACAGCUCUCAGGAAAGAAAAUAAAUAUAUAACCUCUACAAAAUUUCCAGCAACUGUCCCCAAAGGUUCAAAUGUGCACUGUGAAUAUAGACUGUCUUUUCUCAGAGUUGAACAAUGAGAACAACCAGAGAAGCCCAGACUGUUCUGGGUGAGGAAGACUCCAUGCUAGAGCACAUUCACUCGGUUGCUACAAGCUGCUUGCCAAGGUCUGCAAGGUCCCAACAUUCCAGACUACUCAGUUGACUUCUUUUCCAAGUCUAAAAUAAUAAACCAUGUGGCUUACUUGGUGCAGUGUGUAAAGGAGCUGAGGAAAAAUUAAUAAAAUCAAGUGCACCAAAAAAGCCCUAGUCUGUAUUUCAAAACAGCAUUAUAAUCCCUUCCCCUUCAUCACUAGGGCAGGGUGAGGCUAUUUCAAGUGUGUUGGUGGCAGUGGUUCAGAGGGUUUGCAUGUGCACAUGCCUUCAGAAAAUGAUGUAUGUUAUCUUUAACACUUUCUUACAGGAUAGCAUUGUCACUAAGCUGAUAGAUGCUCUUGUUACAGAAGGUGGUUACUACAGAACCUGACAGACUCAAAAGUUAUGUUGGCAAGCCCCUGACAAAUGCAGUGUGUGGAAUAGCUGACACCUGCAAGGAAGAAGCUGUCAUAGCAGUCUUGGUGUAACUUACAAAACCAAAGGCUUGCCCUUGGUGAUUCCAGCAGCUGUCAGGGGCUAUCGAUAACAGCCAGUCCUGCUUUACAAACUUAGCACAUUCCUUAAAAAAACCCAACAAAAACAACACAAUAGCAGAAGAAAGAAUCCUCACUGUGCAGCAGAAGAAAGGCCACUUUAGAGCUGCACGGUGGCUGAAUUCUGUGUUAUGUCAACAGUGACACAAUCACAGUGACCAAAGAGUCCAUAUCAAAACUAAUGUUCCCACUCAUACAUUUCUCUCACAACAAGGAGAAAAUAUGCUUUUUUUAUUUAGAAAAAAGGGUUAUUUUCUUGAACUAUAGAAAAAGAAUUCUCAAUUUUAAUGUUCCAUUUGGGCCAUCAGACUGAAGCAGCAGAUGUUUUGAAAAACUCCGGAUUCAAUCAACCAUUUUUCUUUUCAGACCAUAUCUGGGAACAGUUCACAGUAUUCCUGAUGUGUUUGGAAGUACCAUAUUCUACUGCCUCCUCACAUUUUUCUUUGCUUCCUUAAUAUUUGGUACAUGCAGUCAUUUCUAAGGAAAGCUGGAAAAAUACAAGAGCCUCUAACAACAAUUUGGAAAGGUGCAAAGGUUUGAGGUUCAAAGAUAAACCACUUCUGCUCUGGUGUUUGCAUAUUCUGCUAACUUCAGCAGAAUUGUAUGGAUGUGCUUGAAAGCUCGGACAUUGCCAUAGCAAGUUGAAUGUAUUUUGCCUUAAGAGAUCUGCUGUGUUCUGAAAUGAAUUACACUGUUCUUCAGCACCCUCUCUUGUUUACCCUUAACUUGGGAAGAGCCCUGAUACUCAGACUCUGGGCUCAUGGUUCUAAACUGCUCUCCAGAUACCUUAGUUACAGUUAAGGAAGCUUUUGAUUGGUAUUUCUUGUGACCAAGAUUGACAUACUUCUGUAACUAGUUGAGAAUUGCCAUUCUCUGCAAGAAUACAGAGAGUGAUUGUGUUUCAUGAAGUAUUUAUUGGACAACUCUCAAAUCCUGCUUUAGACAAAUAGCUUCUGACUGUUAGCAUUGCUAAAGACAAUUAAAAACAGACACCUGCUCAAAUCCAUGUUAACACUGCUAUGACUUAGAUUCUUCUUUCUAGUAAACUGCUUUUUAUUCCAACUGGAACUGGUAUCCCUUAUCUCGUUCCAACACAGAUUUGUCUAGUCUUGUAUGUUAAUUGUCCCUAGUAGGUUUCAACAUAGGCAUCUCCGCUCCUAAAUCUCCACUCACCAAAAAGAAAGACAGUGUUUCUCGUGCAAAUAUACUGAAAUUAACUCUCCAUUGCCUAGAAGCUGCCUCUGAUCCCGUCUGGCUGUGGUGACACAUCUCAGCAGCCACUAUGUCACUGAUGUUAGUGCUGCUGGUUGUGGAGCAGCUGGCAGGUCCUCUGGGCAAAUACCUUGUGCACCAAAGCAGACAGCUCAUGACCUGAAAGGAACCUGUGCCUGGCAAUAGGAGCAACCAUAAGUGCAAUGGGAAUAUCUUCCAUUGUUUUAGCUGCAGUAAUCUGAAAGGUGAAGGUUUAGAGCACCCCAUCUAAAAGAAAGGUGUUGGAAUUGGGACCAUAAACAAAAAGACUAAGGAGAGACAUUAAGUUUCCAAUUACAUGAAAGGUAACUGCAGAGUAAAAUAGGGACCCCUCAUGCCUGUGCCCAUCUGAACUGGUACUAGUGAUUUUAAACUGAAGCAAGAUUAAAUUAGAAAAGAAAUCACUAAAAGUGGAGUGUAGUCUGAAAGUACAGUGAAGCAGUGGCAGCACCAUCUCUGGACACAGUG
ensembl:lncRNA